UACGUAGGGGGCAAGCGUUGUCCGGAUUCAUUGGGCGUAAAGAGCGUGUAGGCGGCCAGGUAGGUCGGUUGUGAAAACUGGAGGCUCAACCUUCAGAGGUCGACCGAAACCAGCUGGCUAGAGUCCGGGAGAGGAGAGUGGAAUUCCUGGUGUAGCGGUGAAAUGCGCAGAUAUCAGGAAGAACACCCGUGGCGAAAGCGGCUCUCUGGAACGGUACUGACGCUGAGACGCGAAAGCGUGGGGAGCGAACAGG
rnacentral:rRNA from 1 species